AGAGUUUGUAGUCCUGGCGUCAGGAUAAACGACUGGCGGCGCACAUAAGACAUGCAAGUCGAACGGACCAAACCAUAAGUUACUUUUGGUAGAGGUUAGUGGCGGACUGGUGAGUAACACGUAAGUAAACCUGCCUAUCAGAGGGGAACAACAGUUAGAAAUGACUGCUAAUACCGCAUAUGCCAUAACCAUCGCAUGGUGGAAGUGGGAAAGGAGAAAUCCGCUGAUAGAUGGACUUGCGACUGAUUAGAUAGUUGGUGGGGUAAAGGCCUACCAAGUCGACGAUCAGUAGCCGAACUGAGAGGUUAAACGGCCACAUUGGGACUGAGAUACGGCCCAGACUCCUACGGGAGGCAGCAGUCGGAAAUAUUGCGCAAUGGAGGAAACUCUGACGCAGUGACGCCGCGUGCAGGAAGAAGGUUUUCGGAUUGUAAACUGCUUUAGACAGGGAAGAAAAAAAGACAGUACCUGUAGAAUAAGCUCCGGCUAACUACGUG
rnacentral:rRNA from 1 species